CAGCCGCCGCGGGAAAACGUAGGUGGCAAGCGUUGUCCGGAAUUAUUGGGCGUAAAGGGCUCGCAGGCGGUUUCUUAAGUCUGAUGUGAAAACCCCCGGCUCAACCGGGGAGGGUCAUUGGAAACUGGGAAACUUGAGUGCAGAAGAGGAGAGUGGAAUUCCACGUGUAGCGGUGAAAUGCGUAGAGAUGUGGAGGAUCACCAGUGGCGAAGGCGACUCUCUGGUCUGUAACUGACGCUGAGGAGCGAAAGCGUGGGGAGCGAACAGGAUUAGAUACCCGCGUAGUCCCUGUCUCUUAUAC
rnacentral:rRNA from 1 species